CACCAUUACCAUUUAACACCCAAGACAUGUGAUGUGACCUGAUUGGUUGUGAUAUUACCAGCGGUUCCCAAGGCACUAAUUACUCUGUAACUCCGUGAUGACGGUUUCAUGAUAAUGUUUCUUCAUUCUAUAAAUAUGAAACCUUUUCUUUUCUUCUGCAUUCUUCAAUUUGUCCAAGUACCGUUCCUUUGCAAGUUUGCUAUUAUUUCCUUCCUUUAUAAUUUCUUUUCAUUCUAUCUUUCUCUUCAAAGCUAUGGAUUCCAAAUAUAUCAAUCUUCCACCAAUUGAAACCAUUAUUUUAUAAAAUUUCUAAACCGCCUUAAGGCGUACAAUCAUUGUUGAUGAACUAUAGGGAAACCUUCUUUGUUAUUGAGAAGAUAAGGAAAGAAGCCCUAAAAACUACUUCUAAAAGAGGCAGCCAAGAUUCCUCCAUUAUAACGCCUUCUUCAAAGAGAAAAAAAGGCAACAAACAAGAGUUUUCUACUAAACCCACCAUUUCCAAGAUUUUUCCCAAACAACUUAACUUUAAAGCGAACAACUCUCUAUGGAAUAAGGCGAUGGGGAAAAUCAAAAAUCGGAAUUCCCCUGUGGACACUUACUCUUAUCCAGUUGGAACAUCUUCUUACUAUCCGAAAGGACUGCUACUAGAGAUAUGACCUAAAAUUAACCCAGCUCACGAGAACAAACGAAUUACUAGCCACCGAGAAGGUUUCUCGUUCAAAUAUAUGUAUCCAUUUACUCUAGGGUUUAAACCUACAAUUGAUCCUGCAAUUGAGGCAUUUUACAGACAUUUCGAUGCUUGCUUGGCUAAAAUAAAUCUGAAUAUUUCAAGGCAUGUGGAUUGCCUUAUUUUUUUAUCAAAUCGGCAUCGGUGUACUUCACUCUUCAUCGCCUUCUUUAUCUUUACUCUCCCAAGAUUUGUCGGGAAGGAUUGUUCACUCUUGCUAACCGUGGUAAGCGAGUCCUUGUUGAGCUAGAGAGUAAUCAUGAUCGGGGGUAGUAUGAGAGGUUCAUGGUCGUACCAACUCGAGAUCUUGUGAAACUCAAUGAUCUUCCAUUUUCGGAGAAGUGGAACUUCAAAUAUAAGUUUUCUUUUCAACUCCGAAAUCAUCUUUCUCUUGUCCUGGCCAUAACGUCUUUCCCUUGUACUACAUCUGCUAUGGAAAUAAUCGAAGAGUUCUCCAACCUUGCUGAAUCGAUGAAGAAGAUACUAUCUUAUUCUUUUAUGGAAUUACGGACUUGGAAAUAUUUUUUUGAUGUGUCCGGUCGCAAAGAUAAAGUCAUGGUCUUUUGCGAAGGAAGCCUCAACCUAAGACUUUGAUUGAGAAACUAGAGGUUGAUUAAGCCCAAGAUUGGAUUCUAAAAUUAGCCACUUUGAAGCAAAUAAAUAAAAGUUUGUUAAGUUGUGUUUCAAAGGGUGCUCUUGUCAAGCCUACGAGAAAGAAGCGAAGAUCCGAUAAGAAAAAGGUAGAUCAGUCUGGGGAUGACCAGGGCAAUCCUUGAGUUAAUCCCCAAACUACUCAAUUCUGCCUUCAAGAUAAACUAGAUAAUGUUCCCAUCAUCGUGGAGGAUGAUGAGAUGAAUAUUUUGGCUGAGCAUGUCGGUGAUGCAGUCCCCAUUCUAUUCUCCGGAUGUGUUCCUUUCCCUUUUUCUAAAUGCUUUCUAUGGUUUUCAUGUUACUGACAAAAAAUGUUACAGUGUAAUCUAAUUAGUACCGAGUUGUUGAAGAGGAUUACCAUCUAUAAGGAGGAAAUUGAGGAAUUGAAGGUGGCCAACAGUGAUUGGAAAUCCCAAUAUGAAUGAAUUCGUACUGAGAAAGAGGCCUUGGAGCACCAGGCUAAACUGUUUCCGAGGAGUUAGAGAAGUUCAAGGCAGAAAGAAGCAGCAGGAGUCUUCCAUCAUUGAUCAACAUUCCAAGGCAACUGAAGAGAUACGUAGUCUCAAGGAAUUGCUUGCUCAAAAGGAAGCACAUUCGUGUAAGAUGGUCAUGGACUUCACCCAAGCCACGGAGUAUCUAGAUAGAUUGGAAGAUAAAGCAAGAUCUUUGAAGUGUCUCUUAAAUCUUUGAAUGCUGCUCUUGAUGCUCUGCGUCUGAGAAGAUGAUGUUUUGGGGAAAAGGAUUUAGAUCCCUUUAAAAUUACAAAGAUCUCGAGCUGUAGUCAAAGAUAAACCUGAAUUAGAUGUUCUUGGAGAUCCGAUUGGAGACAUUGGAAGCUUCUCAUGUCGGAUCCCCGAUUAGGAGGGGAUAUUGAGAAAUAUAGACAAGCAGUGGAGACAGUACCAGCAGGUCACGAAUUCUUCUACUCCAAAAGAAGACUCCUUGGAAGAAGAGACGCUUCAAGACCAACUGGAUGAGGUUGCUAAAGAAGAGCACACUAAGUCACAUCCUACAUCUUCAAAUACUUAAGUUGAUUCUCUCCAAACUGGUCCAUCUUUAUCGGUUCCUCUUGACCUUUAAAUGUUAUUUCUUUUCUUAUUUCAUUGUGCUUGCUUCUCUAGGCUUUAAUGCCUUUAAGUAUCAAUAAAAAAUUCAAUCUUUCUUUCCGUA